rnacentral:rRNA from 1 species
GAUGAACGCUGGCGGCGUGCCUAAUACAUGCAAGUCGAGCGAACGGACGAGAAGCUUGCUUCUCUGAUGUUAGCGGCGGACGGGUGAGUAACACGUGGAUAACCUAUCUAUAAGACUGGGAUAACUUCGGGAAACCGGAGCUAAUACCGGAUGAUAUUUUGAACCGCAUGGUUCAAAAGUGAAAGACGGUCUUGCUGUCACUUAUAGAUGGAUCCGCGCUGCAUUAGCUAGUUGGUAAGGUAACGGCUUACCAAGGCAACGAUGCAUAGCCGACCUGAGAGGGUGAUCGGCCACACUGGAACUGAGACACGGUCCAGACUCCUACGGGAGGCAGCAGUAGGGAAUCUUCCGCAAUGGGCGAAAGCCUGACGGAGCAACGCCGCGUGAGUGAUGAAGGUCUUCGGAUCGUAAAACUCUGUUAUUAGGGAAGAACAUAUGUGUAAGUAACUGUGCACAUCUUGACGGUACCUUAUCAGAAAGCCACGGCUAACUACGUG